GGUUAAUGAUGUCAAUUUCUUAACCCAGUAGUUACAUAUUAUAAAAUCAAGCAAGCCAACCACAAAUGGGCACUAAAAAUGGAAUGCUAACUUAAGUUUAUAUGUCAAUUUUACAUCUGUUGAUGUACCAAUACAACAGAGCUAUCUCUGGUAUGGUUCAAGCACUGGUGAUUCUGAUUCUCAGGCUUCAGGGGCAUACAUUUUCUGGCCUAAUGGGGCACCUCCAACUGUUGUUUCAAGAUCAGUUCCACUAAAGGUCAUUCGUGGAGCUUUAGUUGAUGAGAUUCCCCAAGAGUUUAAUUCAUGGAUCUAUCAGGUUAUUAACAUAUUUCUGAAUUUAAAAUUUUAGGUCAUAAUGUAAGAACCAGAACUUGUUCUCUUAUAAUAGUAUCAAACAAAAAUGAAACACAAUCAGAUUGCAAUUUUCUGCUCUUGGGAACUAUCAGACCAUAGACUUAGUGUGUGUAGUUCUGACAACUCUUUAUUUUGAAAGAUUGGUCCAAUGAGGGAAAAUUGAGAAUGUGUUGAAUUGCUAUGUUAUAGGCUUUCUGGUAGAAUGUUUCUCCUUUCUACUACAA